GAGGCCGUCGUCCAACGGCCCAGGAUGCCGGGCCCUCGACCCGGCGAUGCGGGUUCAAGUCCCGCCGGCCUCGCCA
rnacentral:tRNA from 1 species